rnacentral:tmRNA from 2 species
GGGGUCGACAUUGGAUUUGACAGCGGUAGCGGUAGUCAAGUGUCAGCAUGCAGAGGGUUGUGGUGUUCCUCUAUAAUCUCAUGUCACAAACAAUAAUUGACAAUACGUCAUACGCACUUGCUGCUUAAUUAACGGAAUGUUAAUAGGGCUUAAUUCGACUGAAGUAAAGUAGGUUGAACAAGUACUUCCGGUAGAUUGCCGCCCAUUCGGUUUGCCAUACGGAAGUUCAUCUCAUUGGGCUAGCCAAGGUGAUGGUUUUAAGCUUCGGUAAAAUUUUAAAACCUACGUUGUAGUUUUGGGUGUUCUUGUCCGAGCUGCAACCGACAAUCAAUCAAGAAAUAAGCAUGUAGAAAGCUGGAAUACUCACUGUUUGGACGAGGGUUCGAACCCCUCCGACUCCACUC